UACGUAGGGGGCAAGCGUUGUCCGGAAUUAUUGGGCGUAAAGAGCGCGUAGGCGGUCCGGUAAGUCGGUUGUGAAAGUCGGGGGCUCAACCCUCGGAUGCCGAUCGAUACUGUCGGGCUAGAGUCCGGAAGAGGCGAGUGGAAUUCCUGGCGUAGCGGUGGAAUGCGCAGAUAUCAGGAGGAACACCAAUAGCGAAGGCAGCUCGCUGGGACGGUACUGACGCUAAGGCGCGAAAGCGUGGGGAGCGAACAGG
rnacentral:rRNA from 1 species